rnacentral:rRNA from 1 species
AGUGAACGCUGGCGGUAGGCCUAACACAUGCAAGUCGAACGGCAGCACAGUAAGAGCUUGCUCUUACGGGUGGCGAGUGGCGGACGGGUGAGGAAUACAUCGGAAUCUACUUUUUCGUGGGGGAUAACGUAGGGAAACUUACGCUAAUACCGCAUACGACCUACGGGUGAAAGCAGGGGAUCUUCGGACCUUGCGCGAUUGAAUGAGCCGAUGUCGGAUUAGCUAGUUGGCGGGGUAAAGGCCCACCAAGGCGACGAUCCGUAGCUGGUCUGAGAGGAUGAUCAGCCACACUGGAACUGAGACACGGUCCAGACUCCUACGGGAGGCAGCAGUGGGGAAUAUUGGACAAAGGGCGCAAGCCUGAUCCAGCCAUGCCGCGUGGGUGAAGAAGGCCUUCGGGUUGUAAAGCCCUUUUGUUGGGAAGGAAAAGCAGCAGGUUAAUACCCCGCUGUUCUGACGGUACCCAAAGAAUAAGCACCGGCUAACUUCGUG